UAAAUAUUUCAUUGACGUAUCAGAUUAACUACACCAAUUAAACUACAUAUGGUAGCCCACGCACAUUGUGCCUAAGCGGUUAGCCUCUGAAAAGCCUUUAACAGACUAUAUUAGUAAACUAACCCAAAACUUUAUUCACCAAGUUAAGGCUAUGCCCACAACACCAAUGUCCUAUUUUAGCUAAGCUAUGAAAUUACGCGCUAGAAAACAGGUGAACAGGGGUGGCUAAAGUGGUGCCAGCAGUCGCGGUUAUACCUCUGCCCCAAGCUAAUCCCCUCAAACCAGGGUAUAAAGCUAACAAUGGCCUAAUGAUUACCUUUCUACGUAAAAAAUAAAUUACAACUAAACCCAGACAAGCCUUACACUUUAACCCCAACAAACCACAACCUCAAAACUCGGAUUAGAUACCCGACUACUGUGUGGCCCAACACAAAAAGAACACUAAAAGCGAAAGCUCAAACCUCAAACAAUGUGGCGGUGCUUAAUUCCUCAUCAGGGGAUCCUGUGUCUUAAUUCGAUAAUCCACGAAAAUCUUAACUUUCCUAGCACUCAGCUUGUGUAUGGCCGUUUAUGCUUGCUCAAAAAAGACCCCAAAGGAAGCAACAGGCCAAUUCCCCGCAAUUCAGGUGACAUACAGCCAAUGGAAAGCUGACUCAUGGGAUACAAAUAAACACACUAUCAGACUUAAAACUUAAAUAUUUAACAAAGGAGGACUUGAAAGUAAGAUCCGCAUCCAUAAAACCGGUCUGAACAAGAACUUAAGUGCGCACAAAUCGCCCGUCACUCCGGCAGUAAAGCCGGAUAAGUCGUAACAUAGUAGGGGUAAUGGAAAUUGCCCCUAUCAC
rnacentral:rRNA from 1 species